GAUAGCUCAGUUGGUUAGAGCAUGGUGCCAAUAAUUCCAAGGUUACAGGUUUGAUCCCCAUAUGGGCAACU